ACACAAGAAAGCCCUGGCUGUGUGACAGGCUCCUCAGGAGGCACAGCGUCAGCCAGCACCAGAUCUUGGAAAUCCGAGCUUCCACAACUUACUGGAAUGAAGUCUAGGUGUGGUGGCACUGCCCUGUAAUCCCAGCAUUGGGGAGGCUGAGACAAGGAUGGCUGUGAGUUUGAAGCCAGCCUGGACUUCAAAAUGAGUUCAAGGGCAGGCUGGACUACAUAGCAAGAACCUGUCUCAAAAGAAAAAAAAAAAGAUGGAAUGAAGGGAGCUGCAAGCUUCAAACUACUGCUGACUUCUAAUUAGGUUUGGCUGCAGAAGGCAUUGGUAUUUAUGGGGCGUCUGAGACCUUAUCUCAGACAGUUCAUGGUCUCCAACCUGGAUCCGGCUGUCUCCACAGCAGAUGCAGCAAUUGAUUCAAGGUCCUUCAGAGGUUCCAGCAAAUGUAGGACAGAGCUCUCCCUCGGUUCUAGUCCUAUUUCUGGGUGUCCCUUCGAAGUCUCUGGACCUCUUUCCACCAAGAGUCCUCGGACCAACUGUGCAGCAGCUUCACUGGUCCAAUACCUACUGUGUGAAGUGUCCGUGAGGAUCCAAGCCCUUCCUCAUGAUGCUCCCUUGGUGGAGUUACCACCUCCCUGGCUGAGAUUUGGAGCUCUGAUCACAACUGCCCCAAUUUUGCAUUCUUGCAGCCUGAGAGAGAGCAGCUGCUUGCUGUGUUAAUAACGUUGGUAUUAUUUCACCGUCCCCAUUGCUCUCCCUGCCUUUCUUGCAUUUUAAUGAACA
rnacentral:lncRNA from 1 species